rnacentral:rRNA from 1 species
AUGCUUAUUGCUGCAAAGAGUAUGUCAGAGAUUAAUGAACUAAAGAAGCAAUUGAGUGAUGAAUUUGAGAUAAAGGAUUUGGGUGCAGCAAAGAAAAUACUUGGCAUGGAAAUAUCCAGAGAUAGACCGUCUGGAAAAGUGUAUCUUAGUCAGAAGGGAUAUAUUGAUAAAGUUCUUCGUCGUUUUAAUAUGCAUAAUUCCAAGCCGGUGAGUACUCCGUUAGCUGCACACUUCAAAUUAUCAUCAGCUUUAUGUCCUAAGUCAGAUGCAGAUAUUUUGAGUACAUGUCUAGAGUUCCCUAUUCGAGUGCAGUUGGUUCACUUAUGUAUGCCAUGGUUUGUUCUCUUCGGAUUUAUCUUAUGCAUUGAGUGUUGUCAGUAG